UCCUCUUACCAUCUUACUCUUUCUCUCUCUCUUUCAUUUGCUCUUUAGGGAAUCCCCAGAACACGCGAUGCCGUCGUUCAUGUGCACAUAAUGAGCGUCUGUUUUCCGGGCAAAUGUACUCUUUGGAUUGUGACUUAUUCAAGCGUAUAAGUACUAAAAAGGAAUCCUCGUUGACAUGUAUAAUCCACGAGAGUGUGCAUUUUAAGAAUGUAAAAAUAAACAACUAGCAACAUUUAAAUUCAGUGUUAAGUGUAAUGAAGAGUAAUAGGUGAAGAGUGUCUGCAAGAGUAACAAGAAACAAAACAACAAAAGUACUAUCAACAAUAGUUAGAAAAAUACUAUAAUAUGUAAAUGCGAUUACUUAGAAUGGAUAUAGAUAAAAAACAAUGUGAACAUCAAUCAACAAUGCCAAGUUGUUUUAUUCAAGACUGUCGGUGGAACAAGCAUUGUAAAAUAAACUUACUGGAAGUUGGUGGUGCUUGGGGUGCACGACGUACAACU